ensembl:lncRNA
AUGGACACCAUAGAGCAGUGCGGCCAGGCUGUGUGAAGGCAAAGCUUCUGAAAGGCUGGUGUAUAGGACCAGCACGGGAGAGAUGAACCGAGGCAGCUGCUGUCUGUGUUGUGCUUUUUUCUCUGAGUUGUAAAACAGGAUCAGAAGGUGACAGCUGUUCCUGCAGGGAAGACCAGUCUACGGAGCUCAGGAUCAGAUGGUGACAGUGGUCUCUUCAGGGUCAUGGAGCCAGGGAAGACCAGUCUGUGACAGGGGUCUCGUCAGGGUCAGGCAGCCAGUGAAGCCAGUCUGUGACGGCAUAGAGAUUCAACUGCCAACGCCCAUCCCUACAGGCUCUGGGACCUGAGAAAGAAGAGCAUCUUCAGACAGUAUUCUUUGCCAUGUUUCGGCAGUGAAGUCCUGGAAACCCCAAAUCCUUUGAGCAGCAGAUACUAUUAUGUCCAGUUUCUUAGACUUUUUGUUCCUUUGUGCAGUACAAUUAAUCACAUGCGCAAUAAACACCAUAACAUCCACCUUCUUCACAAUCAGCAUAUUAGUUUCCCUCAACUGUUGAGCAACACUGAAUCUCCACAGUCAGCGAAGCAUCCACAGCCAUAUCUUCAGCUCCACUCACUCCAACUAUUUCACGUGCCUCUGUGUAGGAGGCCUGCUGUAUAGCCCUGACCCUUGCCACUUCAUACUCCUUUACCCUAACCGGACACUCUGGGGAAUUGGGAACGUGGUUGCCAUCACAAUUACAACAUCGUACACCCUCAAACGUUCCCCAGUACCUGGAUAUUUUAGCCAACAAUCUGGUUGCCCCUGCCGAGGCUGAAACUUGGCCGCAAGUGGAUCUUCCAGCAAGAUAAUAACCCCAAGCACACAUCAAAAUCCACAAAUAAUUGUAUUUGAACUCAACUCCAGUUGUACAGGGCAGAAGUGGGCCGU